ensembl:lncRNA
GGGAAAAGAAACAGUAUUUUAAAAAGUAAAAAUCUUGCAUCUAGAAGUCUGUCCUUUCCUCAGAUGUGGCUGCUGUUCAAGCACAGAGGCAUCUCUCAAGGAACUGCCAGAUAUAUCAAUGUCUCUCUACAAAUUAACAAAGUGGAGCUGUCAAUUAUUUAAAAAUGUAGAUGCAGCAAGCAGUUGGCUGUGUCUGGUAUUCCUCACAAAGAGGGGUGCCAGAAUUUCACUGGCAAAACACUUCAGCUAAGUGAUCUCAGAUGAAAAAAUGACAGCUUCUGCUAAUAAACAGUCAGGGCUAUGAGUAUAAACAUUCAUCAGUAGUCCUAGAGUGGAGGGAUCGUGGUAGUAUCUGGCUUUGCAGAGACUGUUGUGCUCUUUGCACCCUUGUGCGCAUGUAUUCCAGUCUUAAUCUGGGACAGUUACUGGAACUGGAAUGUACACAAUAAAAAGAAAGAGCAAAGGGCAUCUGCUCUUCAGAGCACAGCUCAAAUGCCUUGGCCAUUUCCUCCCAAAGUGCUAUAGCUUUGUUCCAGCAGCAGCUACAGGAAGGUUCAGCACACCCACAGCUCCCAGAGCUGGUGGAGAAGAUCAUAGGAACUAUCCCAUGUCCUUGGGUGAGCAGCAGAUGACUGGGAGAGGAGUACCAAAACCAUCACAGUGUGCUCCAUUGUGGGUUUGGUGUCUGCUGAGACGUGUUCUUCUGCAGUCUCAAGGCACAGAGGGACUGAGGGAAGACCCUUGGGCUGGCACUUAGCAGUCAUCCAGCAAGGAGUGUGGAGCUGAGUAAUGGCAGGAGACAGAGGCAGAGAGACAAGAAGCCACAAAUCAGGUAUUCAAGUGGUGCUUCUAGGAUGCCAGAUGUGCUUCCUCCUAGGAGGAUAGAUCCAGGAAUGCAUGGGUUUACUCCAAGGAGACCAAGACAUAUGCAGCUGCAAAAGGAUUUCAAGAUCCACUCCUGUGCACUAGAGUCCUGAUUGCUGGGUGAAAGGGACAGGCAUGCAGCUACACCAUGGUCCAGCAGACACAGCCCAGGAGUCCACAGUAAGUGAUUCUGCAGGGGCUCUAGAAACACAAGCAGCUGCUGAGGGUCCUCCAGAGGAUGAAGAAAAAUCCUGAGAUGCUGAAGGAAGCUUUGAUGCAGAGGAUCUGCUGAUGGAUGCAUUAAUACAAGUGGAAAUAAGGCCUGUUAAAUCUUGCCUGAGCAGUUUUGGUAAGUGGGUGCUCUUCCCCUUGGAACGCAUGCAGAAGCAUCCUCUCUGUGGGGAAGGGUGAUCACAAAGAAAGCCACUGUUUCUGGCACUGCUCACCAAGGUUUAUUAGUGUGUAUCCUUUGAGGGCUGUGAACAUCUGCAGAGGACUGGAACUGCACAGCUGAGCACAUGGUCUCAAACCUGAUGUUUCCACGGGCUAAACAGGACAAGCGGUGAGCAGAUACCAAAGUUUUGAGUGCCACUGUCACAUGCUUACCUGCUUUUCCAAAAGACCAUGUCUUGCAAAGUCAGGAUGGAAAAUGCAGGAGUAUUUUGGCUUCUGGAAGCAUUUUUCUCCCUUGAGAGCUUUUCACCUUAAGCUACUCAUUCAGUAACUGGAGGACUGGCAGAGGCUGCCCAGAGUACUCUGUUCUGGAUGGCCCUGCUGGGGCUGGGGUUGUGCCAGACGUGCCAGGGCACUGCUACCCUCAGCUGUUCUGUGAUGUUGUAAUGGCUAAAUCAGUUGUAAGCAACUGCUAACAUUUAACCAUUCAUGUGAAAUGAGUGUGGGUCUCCAUCCCACUACCACUGCCAGUUUACCACCUCCCAGAUGGUACCAUCAGUGCUGCUUACAGUUGGCCAACAGCUGUUGCUGAGGUUGCCUUUCUGAUCUUGGAAGAGGUCUAGGCUGCAUGAAUUUUGCACUGUCCUCCAAUUUUACAUACUCCCAAGUGCCCUGUUUUGGCUGGAAAACCUGAUGGUCUAGCCCUUCUGAUGGCAACCCUGUGUGUUACAAGGGGAGGGAGAAAAGGGUUUGCAACCACAUGAUGAGAGCUGAGGGAAUGAUGAGUGGAAAAUCAGUUUAAUUGUCAUUAUUCUUUUUUAUUUGUCUUCUUGGAAAUAAGACAAAUGCUGUCCUUUCCCCUUUUUUCUUUUGGCUAAUAUUAGGCAUAUAAUACAGGCUGAAUACAUAAUUUUAUAAAGACUCAACACUGCUUGAUUAGUGUUAUUUGGAUCACAUUUUGAGGUUAUUAUCACAAAAUGGACUGGUUUUUCUGUGUAUUAAUUUUAAUGAUGAUGUUUUCUCUUGUGUAACUUCAACUAAAGAGAAAGGCAUCCUAAUGUUACCAUCUACGGAGAAAAGAAUCGUACAAAAGUUGGCUAAUGGAACAUUUCACUCCACCUAUUAACUCAAAAAAUAGAAGUCACAUGUUUCCAUUUACAAGUAUUUUAGUGAAAAGGCAUUAAGUGAAACAUUUUGUCAUCAAACAAUGUAGCUGAGCAUGUACCUUCUCAUGGCGUGGUGGGCCUCAGAUGUUUAUCAUUUCAUAGAAUCAUAGAAUAAUUUCAGUUGGAAGGAACCCUCAAAGGUCAUCUAGCUCAACUCCCCUGCAAAGAACAGGGAUACCUACAACUAGAUCAGAUUUGCUCAGAGUCCUGUCCAGCCUGACCUUGAAUGUCUUCAGGGACCGGGCAUCCACCACCUUUCUGGGCAAUCUGCCCUAGUGCCUCACCACUAGUAUUGUAAAAAUCUUCUUCCUUAUAUCCAAUCUAAAUCUCCCUUCUUUUAGUUUGAAACCAUUUCUCCUUGUCCUGUCACAGCAGUCCCUGUUUAAAGAGUCUGUCCCCUUCCUUAUAGCCCCUUUUUGAUACAGAAAAGCCACUCUCAGAUCUCUUGGAUUCAGAUCUCUUUUCAUCCCUUGGGCCAUUUUUGUGGCCCACCUCUGGACAUGCUCCAACAGGUCCAUCUCUCUCAUGAGGAUUUCUGUACUGAGGACUGCACAUCUAGAUGCAGUACUCCAGGUGAGGCUUCACCAGCUUCAGUAGAGGCUUCAGUAGAGAGGCAGGAUCACCUCCCUCCCCCUGGUGGCCAUACUUCUUUUGAUGCAGUUCAGGAUACAGUUGGCUUACUGGGCUACAAUGGCACACUGCUGGCUCAUGUCCAUCUGGUCAUCCCCAAGUUCUUUUCAUUUUGUAUUGUUUAGAAAUACAGUGAUAUAAAUUUGGGUCAUAGAAGGGCUCUGAGUGUUUGGAAGAGUUACCUUUGGACCUGCACAGGGCUCCUAUGGUAAGAAGGACCCUGAAGGUUUGGCUCUGGGCAGCUGGGUUUCUGCUUCAUGCUGUGGUUAAUUACAACAUGUCCUCAUGUGCUCCCGGGGGUGUGCAGAGCCAGGAGCUCAGAUUUCCUCCCCAAACACCUCUUUGUGGUGCUACUGCCAGAACUCCCUGCAGCUCAAUGUUCAUUCUGAGAAAAGGCUCUGCAGCAUGAUGAAGGGCUUUGCGGAAAAUGAAUGUCAUCAUUAGUGACUCCAGGACUGCAUUUUGGCUCAGAAUUGUGCAAUUCUAUUUCAAGGUUAACAGCUAACUUAAUCUGGGUGGAUGUUUGUCCUCAGAACAGCUAGUUUCUCCUCAAAAUAAUCUCUCCAUUCUUUUCCAUCCUGAGAAACACCACUCAGGUCCCCAGGUGUGAGAGCUGACACGGAAAGGUUGUUCAACAAAUUACAUUUGGCUGAUCUGAAAUUCCAAAAUAAGGCAAAUAGUGCAGUAGGUCUGAGCAGAGGUCAGGCAUCAGCUUCCUCUAGUGCGUAUAUAAAGAGCAGCUUGUGUUCCUCACAGCCAGUGAGAAUCCUGCUCUGAGCAUGUCACAGGAGGAAUUCACAAAAUGACAGUGCUUUCCCAGGCCUUUACUCAAAUUUAACCUUUGGAAAUUUUUUUCCCUAUUUUGUUCCUCACGUCACAAUGUGAAAUUAUAAUACAACUUACACCUUAAAUAAAUAUAUGUGUAAAAUCUCAAAAAGCAGUGCAUAUGUGCAAGGUAGAUCUUUUUUGUGUUUUUGUUGUUGUUUUCCCUUGAUUCAUACCUUAAAAGGUUUCCUUUGUGAACAGCUUAGGAGUUUUAAACUGGAAGGCCAGCUUACAACCAAACUGUGAAAUAUAUGCAGCAUAGAUGUAUAUUCACCUUCAUGGCUAUUUCACAAGGUGGAGGCUGUGUCCCUUUCUGACAGCUUGGUAGAAAGCAUAUCCUUCAUGUGGAAGUUUGAUGGUGAUAGAAUUGAUGAAUGUUUCCACUGAUCCUGAAGAUGGGUUGCAGGCUCAGAUGCAAUGGGGUUAUGUUCAGUGCUAAAUUCCCAUUGGGAGGGCUGGGAAGGGUUUCUGCAGUCUCUUUCUCCAUCCCAAUCAGGAUCACCUGUACCUGGUGUGUUCUUGGUUCAUCUGGCUUUCGUCUAAACUGUCUGUUGGGCUGAAAAAAGUUUAUGGGGCAAUUUAUCGCAUGGGUAGUUACCCAUUCUAUUAAAUAGCCUGAGUCAUUGCUGUUGAAGUGACAACCCAUCUUGUUGUGUCCCACAUGAGCUUAAUCCCAUUCCUUUUGGCAGUGAGCUUUUACAGGCAGUCAUCCACCCCUCCACCUCCUCUACUUGAUUCGAUGAUUCUGUAAGACUGGAGCAUUGGAAUGGGCUGCCCAGGGAGGUGGUGGAGUCACUGUCCUUGGAGAUGUUCAAGAAAAGGAUAAGUGUGGUACUGAGGAACAUGGUUAGUGGGUAUGGUGGUGAUGAGUCAGCAGUUGGACUAGAUGAUAUUAGAGGUCCAUUACAACCUUAUUGAUUAUAUGAUUCUAUUCUAUGCUUGGGGCUUUGAACCCCUCUGAAGUUCCUGCAGGUUUCACAUGUUCUUUGUCAGUACUUAGGACUGCAGCCUCCAAACAGCCUAACCAGGGAAACAACACUGCAAAACAAAUCCCAGCUUGUCCACUGCAGGUGCAAGGCUGACACAUCCCCAUCUCUUAAUGCUAUGGACUGAGCCAAAGAAGCUCCAGGGUGCCAAUACCUAAGGAAGGUCUGCAGGUGUUGUACUGAGAUGGAAAUGCCCUGUGCAUCCAAAGGUGAGAGCCACACAUCCCACUGGUCCCCUGAAGGAAGAAGCAGUUACUCCUGAGCCUUGCAUUGUCUCCCAAGUUCUCUCUACAACGCAGAACAUUGACAUCUUUCCAAAACACAGCAGAAAAAAAUGGAUAUUAAAACAGGUAUUUUAAAAGCAAUCUUACUCUUUAUUUUUUGGUGGAGUUCUAGUUACAUGCUACUCUUAGAUGCGAUCCAUUUUCUAAUAGGUCAAAAGUCUCAUGGGAAUCAGGCAAGAAACUGUGACAAGAACUAAAAUUAUCUCUACUGCUCCCUUGCACAGAUGGUGCUUUUCUGAAGCUGAGUGGGGUGAAACUGGUGAACACUGUGGGUGCAAGCUGAGGCUAUUCUGGCAAGAACCCCUGCAGAGUUUUGCUAUAGGCAGCUUCUGAUCACAGGGGUUCACCAAGACGUUCAUCACCAUGCCAAGGGCAGUGUCUGUAGGGGGGAAAUGGAAAGAAGCUUGGAACUCUUAAAUAGUUUCAGCACAAAAAAAGCUUCUACUGACAGCUGCUGAAACACAGUCUUUCAAACACAGCGAUGAACUUGAGUGUCUAGGAUUUUAAGCUAAUUAAAAUAGAACUGGAUGGAAUUAAUAUAAACAUAGCUUCAAACCAGGCCAAGGAAAACAAAACCCCAUGCAGGCUGACCUGAUGAAGAUUGUGGAAUACAGGUGCCAUUCAAUUUUCUGGAAUAGCAUAUUAUUUUUUAUUCUGAUGUUGAUAGGAAAAUAAUUUACAGACUCUCUCAGUAGGUUAUGUUGGAUUUCAUUCCGGUGUCUCCUUUUGCAAUAAUGCUAAUGGCAAAAGAAAUGCACAUUGAUAUUGUUUUAGCUGCAGCAGAAAUGCCAGGGAACUCAGAUCUGUGCUAUCACCUCGUCAGUGGGCAAAUUACUAAAUCGGAAUUUUAUGAAAUUACUCAAUAUUUGUGCAGACAGCUUCCAGGAAAAAGCACUUGUGUCUAUUUAGCUCUAGUGUGUAACAGAUGGGUAGAGACAAGUUAUUUCUUUGUAGCCAGACUCAUACUGACAUUUUAAGACAGCUUUCCUUAGGUGCUCAUUAGUUCUUGUAAGCCAGAUAUUAAAUCUUACCUUAGAGCAAAAUUCAGUCAUAUAAAAGGCCUUCAAGCAAUGUUGUAGUGUGUUACUUGCAAGAAAAUUAAAUGUAACCCAUCCUUUCAAAAUUGUAUUUCAUUUUAGCUUACAGCAUUUAGAUGUUAGAAGUCAGUUAUUUAUCUAUUAACUUUAAGCUGUUUAGGAACUUUAAGCUGUUCAAGGAAUUGUUGACCAAGAUCUCCUAGGACGCUGUCCUUAAAGACAAAGAUGCUGAGGAAAACUGGCUACUCUUCAAGGGUGCCUUUCUGAGAUCACAAGAGCUCUCCAUCCGUCUGAAUAAGAAAGCAGGAAGACAGGGCAGGAAACCAGCAUGGCUCAGCAAGGACCUGCUGGGCAAACUGGGGGGAAGGAAAGGCACAUACAAACUUUGGAAACAAGGGUGUGUCACCUGGGAAGAAUACAGGGAUGCCAUUUGGACUUGCAGACAUGGGAUCAGGAAAGCCAAGGUGCAGGCAGAACUGAACUUGGUGAGGGAUGUGAAAAACAAUAUGAAGACAUUCUACAGGUACAUUGGCCAGAAGAGAGAGGCCAAAGAGAGUGUAUCCUUUGGUAAAUGUAAAAGGAGGGCUGGCUUCAACAGAUGGAGAGAAGGCUGAGGUACUGAAUAAGUUCUUUGCCUCAGUCUUCACUGGCAGCCAGGACUCUAAUAUUUCUCACAUCCCUGAACCCUGCAUCCCUAAACUUCUAGGUGGGGACCGGGUGAGUAAAUCCCCCCCCCCCCCCACUGUAAGGACAGAGCAAGUCCGAGACCACCUCAUGAGACUGAAUGCGUACAAGUCUAUGGGGCUGGAUGGCAUGCAUGGAUGGCAGGGUUCUGAAGGAGCUGGGUGAGGUGGUUGCUGAGCUGUUCUCUAUCAUAUUUGAAAAGUUGUGGCUGUCAGGUGAGGUCCUGGAUGACUGGAGGAAGGGUUGCAUCACUCCCAUUUGUAAGAAUGGGAGCAAGGAGGACCUGGGGAACUACAGGCCGGUGAGUCUCACCUCUGUACGUGGGAAGAUCAUGGAGCAGAUCCUCCUGGACGACAUGCUUGAUUACAUGAGGAAUGAGCGUGUGAUCCGAGACAGCCAGCACGGCUUCACCAGGGGAAGGUCAUGCCUAACCAAUCUGGUGGCCUUCUAUGGUGGAGUGACGGCACUGGUAGACAAAGGGAAGGCGACUGAUGUCAUUUACCAGGACUUAAGCAAGGCUUUUGACAUGGUCCCCCACCACAUCCUUAUCUCCAAAUUGGAGGGAUGUGGAUUUGAUGGGUGGACCACCUAAUGGAUAAGGAAUAUGUUGAAAGGCCACAGACAGAGGGUGGUAAUUAAUGGUUCUAUGUCCAGGUGGAGGCCGUUAAUGAGUGGUGUCCCCCAGGGGUCUGUCUUGGGACCGGUGCUCUUUAACAUCUUCAAGAAUGACAUCGAUAAUGGAAUUGAGUGCACCCUCAGCAAGUUUGCUGAUGAUACCAAGCUGAGUGGUGUUGUCACUGUGGAAUGAAGGGAAGCCAUUCAGAGGGACCUCAACAGACUUGAAAGGUGGGCCCAGGUGAAUCUAAUGAGUUUCAACACAGCAAAGUGCAAGGUUUUUGCACUUGGGCCGGAGGAAUCCCAGGCAUAUAUACAGACUGGAAGGAGCAGUCCUUGCGAGUAGCCCUGCAGAGAAGGACGUGGGAGUCCUGGUGGAUGAAAAACUUAACAUGAGCCAGCAGGGUGCUCUUGCAGCUUGGAAAGCAAGUGGUAUCCAGGGCUCCAUCAGUGGAGGGGUGGCCAGCAGGCACAGGGAGGUGACAGGACAGCAGCCCUCUCUACUCUGCCCUUGUGAGGCCCCAUCUGGAGUACUGUGUCCAGGUUUGGAGUCCCCAGUACAAGAAAGCUGUUGGAGAUGGUCCAGAGGAGGGCCACAAAGAUGAUCAGAGGGCUGGAGCACCUCCCCUAUGAAGACAGACUGAGGGAGCUGGGCUUGUUCAGCCUGGAGAAAAGAAGGCUGCAGGGUGACCUAAUUGCAGCCUUUCAGUACCUAAUGGGAGCCUAUAAACAGGAGGGGAGUCAACUCUUUGAAAGGGUAGAUAACAGCAGGACAAGGUGAAAUGGUUUUAAGUUGAAACAGAGAAGAUUUAGGUUGGAUGUCAGGAGGAAGUUCUUUACUAUGAGUGUGGUAAGGUCUGGAACAGGCUGCCCAGAGAUGAUGUGGAUGCCCCGUCCCUGGAGGUGUUCAAGGCCAGGUUGGAUGGGGCCCUGGGCAGCCUGUUCUAGUAUUAAAUGUGGAAGUUGGAAGCCCUGCCUGUGGUGGGAGAUGUUGGAGAUUCAUGAUCCUUGAGGUCCUUUCCAACCCAGGCCAUUCUGUGAUUCUGUGAUAUUCUUCUACUGCAAUUCUUCCACAAAUCGUGGGUCAGAGCACUCUGACAAUUAUCACUGACAAAUAGGACAUCUUCUCUUCUUAUUGCUACUCCGAAGAGCAGCCUUGGGAUGGACCAACAAAGAGGAAGCAGGACAGAGUCCCUCAGGCUGAGCCUUCAAGUCAGAUUGCAAGUGAUGGAUGGCUGACAGAUGAAGCUGCAAGAGAGACUUUUCCCUGUGGGGCCACCAACAGCACAGGCAGACCCUGCAUCUUCUCCAGCCUCCAUCUACAGCUGUGUUCCACCAAAGCUGUCCAGGUCGGAACUUCUCCCUCCAUGGCAAUGCAGGUAAAGGUGGGAGAAUUCCACAACUCUCCAAACCACCCCACCACUCUGGUCUACAGCCACAUUGCACAGAGAAGUAAGGUAGGUGCUGGGAUCUAAAUAGCAUUUUCUCUUUGUGAUGCCAACCAUUUCCACUCACUUCAAGAUCUUCUCAGGCUUGGAAAUGUGUGGCUCUGUACGUGUUCCUUUCCCAUCCUUUCCAGGCCAAAAUUCCUGAUUAGCAGUGAUUGCUUACAUGAGAGUUCUAGCUUUUUAGUGGUAAAAUGCAAUUAUCUGUUGUUUCACACUUGUUUCUGAAAUGUUGUGAGCACGAGGGAAAAAAAGAGGACAACCCACUUCAGAAAUUAAUGGCAGUCAGCUAAUGUAAAUACAAUUUCCCAGCAUAUCCCUAAGCACUGCAUAUCAGACAUCAGUGAUUUCAGAUGAGUCCUUAAUCUGAAUUCAUCUUUGUUGGGGUUGGUAUGUUAACCAUACACUCUGUUGACUUUUAAUGUGUGAGAAUAACAUUUCUAGAGGUAUAUUCCACGUUCUGAUAUCAUCCUGAAAGCAAUUAUAUAGUGACUUAAACAUUCACUUAAAAGUCCUAGCUUCGUGAUAAAGAGUUUCUUGUUGGAAAAUGUUUAUGAAGUGACUCAGUACAAUUUACUAUCCAUGGAUGAACUACUUCUAACCCCCCCAGCAGCUUGCAUUUCUCACUACCACUGCACCCAACACAGCUGAGACGUUAAUGAGUGAUGAACAGCUUCUCUGUAACAUCAGUUCUGCCCCUUCUGAGUUAUGCUUUCCUUGUGGGGAGAGGUGCACCAAAGUGCUUUUGAAGUGUUGCUGCAACCUUGCAGUAGGGGAGAAUGGUUUUGAAAGCUGGUGUCACGAGUGCAGCGACUUGAUGCUGGACUCAGAUGUGAACGAUCCAAAUCGUUUAUUACAAGUUCUCACCUCGCUUAUAUACCUUCACAAGUUUUCUAGCUUUAUCAUCCACCCCUACAACUUUCCCAUCCACCUUUACAUGUCAACAGAGCAUUCUACACUCUUCAACCAUUCAUGUGGGUGCUUAUCCAAUCAGAGCCGUGAGCUAUUCUUUCUUCUUCUAGAGGUGUCCUUGGUUCUCAUGAUGUUUAUCUUGCUCCACAGCUGCUGCUUCUGAACAGUUUUUCUUGUAUUCCCACAAACAAGCAUGGUGUAGUGCACCAGACAUGUCUGUGCAAUAAAUAAAUAAAUAAAUAAACCCAGCCCAAAUAUUUAGUUUUGUUUUAUGAAAGGAUUGUGAAAGAGGAGCUCUUCUGAUCAGCAGAUAGUUUCACACACAUUUCUCAUCAGCCACAGUGGAAUGCUCAAAAUAGGAUCAAUUUUGGUGAUGUCUCACACCAGAAAAAUUCUUGCAGAAUCCUCUCACUGUUUUACCAUCAUUCUAGCCAGAUUAAACAAACCAAAUCCUCAUGGGGGUUCAACAAGCACAUUUACCCACCAGAGUCCAUGCAGGGUACCUCUCUUCUCUAAGGAGAAGGUCGAUUCUAAAAGAGAGAAGAUCCUCCAGUGGCAUCUGCUUCAUCUCCCUUCUACCCCCCUCUGUGUAUGGAAAAGAAACACAGAAUCAGCUGAAGACUGGAGGGCUCAAAUUUUAUACACAUCUCUCCAAAAUGGAGAACAAUUUCAGUGUGGGUAUUUGAGGUCAUCUUGUGUAAUUUUCUACUUGGAUAGUAUAUAAGUAUGCAUAACACUCUGCAGCUAAGCCCCCUAAGAUUGCUUUGGUCUUGAUGACCUAAGGAUGUAACUGAGACAAGAUCUGCAAGAAUGCACUUCUCUAUAAAAUAGCUUAUUCUCUCCUCACAAAUACUGCCACCUCUGUAGAAAUGUUACUAACCUCUGCUGAGCUCCAGUGAGUACUCCUGCAGAAGUACUUCCUGCCUUCUCCCUCUGACCCAGGCAGCAGGCAAGAUUCAGAAAAUGGGCUUGGUUUUAAUUUAAUUUGAUGAGAAGGAACCUUCUGUUAUGGAUAUAGCAAUAGCAGCACAAACUGUACUGUGAGCACAUCACUAUUUUCCUUUGCUUAGGGAGCUGGAUUCUGCUUUUUUUUUUUUUUUUUUUUUUUCCCAUGAAUCUAAUCUGGAUUUGUCUUUUAAAACAGCAUAUUUCUGUCACCUGUCUCUCUUCUUUUAAUAGCCUAUCUUCGAAAGAGUGUCUGCACACACAGGAAAAAUCACUAUGCAUUUAACAUAAAUGGGACUGCAUACUACACAAACUGCUGAUACAUUUCCAGACAUAGACUGAAAAAAAAUUUAUGAUACCCCUUACACAGCUCCAUACAAAUAUUUAUGCAUAGCCUGUAUUUUACAAACCCUUAUCCUUGUGCUGCAGGUCCUUCCAAGCCACGUGAAGUUAAUGUGGUGUCAGACAUGUCUGUGCUCAGGGCAUAAGAAGCCUUUGUGGACUCGUCUCCAGGAGGAGCAGCCCUACCCCAUGGGGUCUGCCUGCCAUGAAGCCUCCCUGUUUUCUCUGCAAUAAUUGUAACUGGACCCUUUUCUAUGUGAGCUGCUUAUCUUCCAUCUGAGGCCCAUUAGGCAGCAUACACAGAGAAUGUGUGAAGUCGGUGCUUGGCCGCCUUACUGCUUCUCGUUUUGGUGUGUGUAGAUGAGGCGAAGGCAGUUUCUGAAUUUCUGCCCCUCAGUGGGCUACAGAAGGGGAGCAGUGAGUCCCUGGGCUACUCCUGCACUGGCAACGUUUAGCAAGGGUCAGUGCCAAUUUGUGGUCAUGCCUUCGUGUCCUGUGCUUGUUGGGUUUUAUUAAUCAGCACUUUGAAAAGGCAGCAGUGGGGUUAUAGAACAUUACUGAAUUCUCGUGGAGGUAUUCAUUUAUCAUUGGCAAGCUUGAUGUUUCACAUAACUGUUACUUCAUCAUAUUCUGUGGUUGGACUUGAUGAUCUUUAAGGUCUUUUCCAACCUGAGCUAUUCUAUGAUUCUAUUAUUCUAUAUAGCAUUUAGUUAAAUGUGUUUUAAAAACCAGCCAUGGAUCCCAUGUUACCAGUGGUAUAAUAUAGAUCCAUGCCUGUCCAAGCAAGCAGCCCACUGCGUGAGUCCAGUGACGAGACAUUUAUGUGCACAGGGUACCUGCUGGGCCAAAGCCAGCAUUUAGGUGCCACUUUCCACCAAGUCUAGGGAAUUUCUCAGUUGCCCUUUUCAGCAAUGUUUUUACAGUCUUUUGUAUGGUAGCAACAGCAUUAAAGGGUUGCUAAGUGCGGGGGGAGGAGAACAGAAGGGUGGAAGUGACUACUUGCAGCUCUCCAUGCCUCUUCCUGGGAUCCAGAGGAACCAGCAGUGCUGCUCACAUUCACACAUGUGCCACCACACGUCUACAACCACACAUCCUCAAGUUAAGGACAGACACUGAAUUCCUUUCCAGUUCAAGCACUGUCAGGUAAAAAAUUGAGCUUUAUGUAUUUGAAUCAUGGACUCAUUUAGGUUGGAAAAGGACUACUAAAAGUCCACCACUAAACCAUGGUCCUAAGCACAACAUUCAUACUUGUCUUAAAUAUCUCCAAGGAUAGGGACUUCCCUGUGCCGCCUUUCUCAAUGCAUAACCACAUUGUGCAGAAAGGAAGAUCCUUCCUUUUUCCUAAAGAAGUUCUCUUGCCCCAGGAUUUCAUCCCAGCACUUGGCUCUUGUGGAGACAGCAGGAAAUGUUCACCGCAUUCUUUAAGGGGGAAACUGAUGACAGUGUUAUUCUCUGUGCACCACAACUCAUGUUUCUGGGUACUGCUAUUCUCAAAACUCUUCAUGCCAGUAAGAGCAUAGGAGCAUGUUUUAUUUCCUUGAUGAGCAAAUGCAACCCUUUGAGCUGGGAAUCUCAAAGGUAGCUCCACAAGAACAAGGCCUUGCUGAAUACUAAUGAAGUAUUUGCCAAAGUACAUGCAAUCCAUGAGCUGUGAUUUACCACUGGUCACUUUGAGAUAGUUUAUAACGAGAUAAAUGAGAAAAAUAAUGUCUCCUUUAAUAAGGUAUAGUGCAGAAAACUAUUUAAGCUGAAAAGAGAUUGGGUUUGCUGAUUGUGUACUGCAUGCAGCCUCUUGAAAACUGGGCUUUCUGUCCCGCAGGGCAUUCCAAUGCAACACUUGGUUUCAUCUGUAAUUACAAUGAACUUUCUAAAUGUCCAUUUCCCACAGAGUCGAAAAAUUUGAAGAAAAACAUGAUUAAAAAAUGGUCAGGAAUGACCUAUGACAUUGUCACUGUCUGGCCCUGCUAUGGCUUCACGUGUAAAUUCGGUUGCACAUGUGGUCACUAUCUCUAUUGCAGGACCCACAGUAAGCAGGUAAAUGCUGUCAACUGCCACAUCUAUAUCAAACUGUGUUUUUGGACAAGUACUGGAGGGCACGACAUCUGAGGUUCAUUUGCUAUGCUCCCUUUUCAGCCACAAAGUGAUUGAUGACUUUAGUGUUUACCUUUAUACAGUGAGGAGUAGGAGUUAUGUUGGCUAUACUGUUACUUCGCAGUCUUAAUGGAACCAUACUCACAAUUAAUAAGGAAUAACUACCUUGCACUUUGGUCACAGACUGAAAUGGGAGAUUUUGGUAGCAGCAACCAAAGAAAAUGUUGGCAGUGAAUGCUGCCUUUGGACUACUUCUGCCCAAUCCAGGCUACUGUGAAUAGAUUUUUUCAAUAGCUAGAGCAUUAAAAUAUUCAAAGCAAUGGCAAUAUAUUUUAUUAAAAACAGUGCAUUGCUUGGUAGGGCAGAAGGAAAUAAUGGCUCAGGGGUCUGGGAAUGGAAGAUGGAACCAUUUACAUCUAAGUCACCCUUUCACAUCUAGCCAAGGUCAGCAGUAAACAAGAAUUGUAUCGUUACCAGCUGGUGGCCCACAGAAUGAGAAAUAAAUUGAUAGUGUGAGUCCAGUUUCCAUGAAAUGAGGCAAAUACUGCAAAACCAGAACCAGAAGUGGAACUAACUGACACUGCUGCUGGCCCUACCUGGGUGCUGAGGAUAGAGUGGUGGAAACCUGACCAUGUCCCAGUAAGACAGGUGGUCCCAACAGGACUGUGGCAGAGGAACAUGCACGGUCCCUUUGCUGCCUGGUGGGCAAGGCAUCCUGCAUCCUGCAGACCCCAGGCUGCGACAUGGAGGGCCGCUUGCCUCCACCUCCCCUGGGCAUUGCACAUACCCAGACACCCAUGUCUGGCUGAUACUCAUGUUGUACAAGCAACAGCUUCUUAGUCCACCUUCCUUUAGUUAGAUGUCCUAUUGAAAUGAGAAAGCUUUAAAGUAUGAUGUGUGAGCUUGGGCUGAGGUAGCAGAUGAUGUUUAUUAUUAUUUUUAUUGGCUUCUUCUGGAUUUUCUGAUGUGAUUAAUUUAUCUAGCCAUAAUAUUUUAAAAGCACAAUCAAAUUUCAUUUUAAUUUGAAGCCAAAAUGCUCAGACUCAUAAUAUUUGAAGCUCAAAAAAUGAUGACUCUUUUUUAAAAUACCACAAGGGAUAUAUCAAUUGAGCUUAAUUACAUCAAAGAACAAUCCCAUAAGAGAGAGGGGAAAAAAAAAAAAAAAAAAAGAAGAAGGAUCUGCCAGAAAUAAAAAGGCUGCAUGGGUCAGUGGUCUCUUGAUUGUAAGGUAUGUGUUACAAUACACAUGUGUAUGUAAACAUAUACAUGCUUGUACAUAAUCAUAUAUAAACCAGCAUACUUUAACACUUAGCUCCACAAAAUGAUCUUUUCAUAGGUAUUAGGAGAGCAUGAGGUGCUCUACAAAAGGAAUUGUGCUUGCUUGUUUUUACUUUUCUCAUAUGACAGGCCAAAUAUUGCCUUUCCUGAUGCUAAUAUCUGGAAAUCUGUUACACAAGUACGCUAGGGGGAAAAAAUUAAUAAAUGGGACUCAUUAAAGGUAUUGCCAGAGAAAACUUACUAGAUUUGGCCAGGACACUGAUUUAAUCAACAUUUUUUCUUAUUGAAAGCAAAUGUUCAAGUGUGGUGAAUUUGAAGUGGCUAACUGAGGAGUUUCAGAGCGGAAAAUAGAUCUGCAUAAACCUGCAUAUAUACACUAAAUCCUAAAUGGAAGAUAGCUCUGUCUGCAUAUUCUGGAGAAGAUCCUGGAGAAAGUAGAAAUAAGGAAAAAAGACAGAAUUAAAUGUUGAUGCCUCCAGAACGAUGCUCUCUGAAGAAUCAUAGAAUUGUUGAUGUUGGAAAAGGCCUCUGAGGUUGUCUAGUGCAACCAUCCACCUACGACUAAUAUUGUCCACUAAACCCUGUCCCUAAGUGAUGCAUCUACCCUUUCCUUACACACCUCUAGGGACGGUGACUCCAGCACUUUCCUGGGCAGCCUAUCCCAGUGCACUGCCACUCUUUCUGAGAAGAAAUUCUUACUAAUACCCAACCUGAAUGAAACAGCAGCUUCACCUUUUUGUUUUAUGGGCAGUUCUAUGGAAGUCUGGCUAAAUAGCAUGGAUGAAGCACCUUCUUCUAAUGCAUCAGUGCAGAAUGAAGUGAACACAGGUAGCCCAGUACAAGGCAGAGCUAAAUGAAUUCCUUGCCUCUCUGUGAGUGCAAUCUGCACCUUGAGUCAGCUGUGCCACCCUGUUACAAAGACUUUGUUGUAGUACAGGAGUCUUAAAAAUAGCCUUCACCUCCUGAACCCCCUUCUAGAAAUGCUCCUCCACUCAGCCACAAGCUGAAGCUAAUUUUCACACAUCUGCUGUAAUUUAAACCAUCUGUGUGGCUGCAAGUUAAGGACAGAGAAUUUGUGGCCCAUAUUCUUCCCAUCUGACACUGGGAAGCUUUUGUGUGCAUUGUCCAUAUGCCUGCAUUAGCUCUAUGGGUUUGGGUCCAGAUAGCCACACUAUUUCUCUUUCAAAAACACUGUUUUUUAAGAAUCCCUCAGUGAGGAAUACUCAUUACCAAGGUGCUUAGGAAGGAGCAAGUGGUGCCAAGCUGGCUCUAGCAGGGUUGCUGGCUACUGUGCACAAUUAGUUGUUAGGCACUGAAGAGCCCUGUCGCAGCUCUUGAUUACCUAGUGUGUUUUGAAAAAUCUCCUCAGCUCAUACCAGCUUUCACUCACUGUAGGUAAUUAAGUUAGAAAAAUAAACACAAGCAGGGCUGCUCUGGCUGCAAGGACUGCUGUGCUCAAUAUAAGCCCUCAGCUGCACAGAGCCAGAGGGAGCUGCUAACAGCACUGACAGCUCAGGGAAGUGAUUUAUGAAGCUUUUCUUUUGCGAAAAGUUGGCAUCUAGACAAUCUGUGCCCCUCCCGCUGCCUGCGUGCUCUUCUGGCAUGUGUAAAGCCCAAGCAUAUUCCAUAAACAGACCAUUAAGCCCAGAAACUCUUCUUAAAACAUAUGAUUAGAAACCAAAACAGCUCAAUCCACAUCCAUGUGAUAUUUGUAUGAAGGAUUACAAAAUGGCAGCAGAAUGACAAGACAUACCAUACUGCCCAGUACCAGAGUAACCAUUUGUCUACUGGGAUAAAAACCAGCGCUGAAGUUCUCCAGUGCUGAAUGUGUAUUGCUGAGCUGAAUGUGUAUUGCUGAUCUUGAGAAAUGUUCUCCUUUAUUGCAGCGUACUCUGCUCCCACUGCUGGUUUAAUCCCAAGGAGCUCCUGCUUUUGAUCUCCAUGUGCAUCUGUGGGCAUAGACUGAGUGCCCAGAUAACUCUGGGAAUGUGGGGAAAGAUGUCCCAUCAGACAGGGCCACACCAACAGAGCCUCACAGGCCCAGGCCUUGACAAAGAACACUGCACAAGCAUGUUUGUGAUGCUUCAAAGAGACAUAGAAUCAUAGAAUGGCCUGGGUUGAAAGGGAUCACAAUGAUCAUGUAGUUUCAACACCCCUGCUAUGUCCAGGGUCACCAACCACUAGACCAGGCUGCCCAGAGACACAUCCAGUCCGGCCUUUAAUGCCUCCAGGGAUGGGGCAUCCACAACCUCCUUGGGCAACCUGUUCCAGUGUGUCACCACCCUCUGAGUGAAAAACUUCCUCCUAAUAUCUAACCUAAACCUCCCCUGUCUCAGUUUAAAAUCAUUCCCCCUUGUCCUGUCACUAUCCACCCACGUAAACAGUCAUUCCCCCUCCUGUUUAUACGCUCCCUUCAAGUAUUGGAAGGCCACAAUGAGGUCUCCCUGGAACCUUCUUUUCUCUAAGCUAAACAAGCCCAGUUCCCUCAACCUUUCUUCAUAGAAGAGGUGCUCCAGCCCUCUAAUCAUCUUAGUGGCCCUCCUCUGGACCCACUCCAAGAGUUCCACAUCCUUCCUGUACUGGGGGCUCCAGGCCUGGACACAGUACUCCAGAUGGGGCCUCACAAGAGCUGAGUAGAGGGGCACAAUCACCUCCCUCCCCCUGCUGGCCACUCCUUUUUUAGUGCAGCCCAGGAUAUAGUUGGCCUUUCAGGCUGCAACCGCACAUUGCUGGCUCAAGUGUAGCUUCUCGUCCAUCAGGACCCCCAAGUCCUUCUCUGCAGGGCUGCUCUCAAGGAGAUCUUCCCCCAGUCUGUAUAAAUACCUGGGAUUGCCCCGACCCAAGUGCAGAACUUUGGCCUUAUUGAACCUCAUUAGGUUCUGAUGGGCCCACUUUUCCAGCCUGUCCAGGUUCCUCUGGAUGUUCCCUUCCUUCCAAUGUAUCGACUGCUCCACUCAGCUUGGUGUCACCUGCAAACUUGCUGAGGGUGCACUCAAUAUCAUCAUCUGUGUCAUUGAUGAAGGUGUUGAAGAGCACCGGUCACAAGACUGACCCCUAUGGGACACCACUUGUGACCAGCCUCCACCCUGACACAGAACCAUUAAUCUCGACCCUUUGGCUUUGUCCAGCCAACCAAUUCUUAAUCCAUCGAACAGUCCAUCCUUCAAAUCCAUGCCUCUCCAAUUUAGAGAGAAGGAUGUGGUGAGGGACCAUGUCAAAAGCUUUGCAGAAGUCCAGGUAGAUGACGUCCGUUGCCCUUCCCCUGUCCACCAAUGCCGUCACCCCAUCGUAGAACACCACCAGACUGGGCAGGCAAGAUGAAGGUGAAGCCAUACUAGCUGUCUCAAAUGACCUCUUUGUCUCGUUUGUGCCUUAACAUUGCUUCUAGGAUUGCUCCUUGAUCUUCCCAGGCACAGAGGUGAGGCUCACCAGCUGGUAGUUCCCUGGGUCCUCCUUUCUCCCUUUCUUAAAAACAGGAGUAAAUGUUUCCCUUUAUCCAUUCACCAGGGACUUCACCAGACAGCCAUGAUUUUUCAAAUAUGAUAGAGAGCAGCUCAGCAACCACAUCAGCCAUCUCUUUCAGAACCCUAGGAUGGAUAUCAUCCAGCCCCAUGUAGUUAUAUAUAUUCAAAUUCAUGAGGAGGUCUUGGACUUGGUCCACUGUUACAGUGGGACAGAAACCACUCUCCAAACCCUCACCUAGAGACUCAGGGUCCUGGUAGACAUGGAAAGUCUAACCACCCGUGAAGGCUGUGGCAAAGCACUCACUGAGUACCUCAGCUUUUUCUAUGUCUGAGGAAGCCAGCUCCCCAUUACCUUUAAUCAGAGGGGGAAACGAAGGCCAUCCUUGGCCUGCCUCCUCCUGCCUAUGUACCAGUAGAACCCCUUCUUGUUAUCUUUCACAUCCCUCACCAAGUUCAGUUCCAUCUGUGCCUUGGCUUUCCUAAUCCUAUAUCUAUGCACACGGACAACAGUCCUGUAUUUGUCCCAGGCUACACAACCCUGCUUUCACUUCCUGUACAUUUCCCUCUUUUUCCUCAGUUUAAGCUGCAGGUCCUUGCACCUGCCUCCCCUGCUCAACUUCUUCUGGGGGAUGGAGAGCCAUUGUGCUCUCAGAAGGGUGUCCUUAAAGAGCUGCCAGCUCUGUUCUGUACCUUUAGCUAUGUACCCUUAAGGACAGUUUCUCAGGGUAUUCCACUCGGCAAUUCCUUGAGCAGCCGGAAGUUUGGUCUCCUGAGGCACAGGGUCCUGACUCCGCUUUUUGUCAGGCCCACAUUCUUCAAGAUCACAAACUCCACCAUGUCAUGGUCACUACAGCCCAGGCUGCCUUCAAUCUUAACCUCUUUAACGCUCUCCUCUGCAUUGGUGAGCACUAGGUCCAGUAAGGCUUCACCUCGAGUUAGUUCAUCUAUUACCUGGGCCAGGAAGUUAUCCUCAGAAGACUCCAGGAAUCUCCUGGAUUGUCCGCCACCCACCAUGCUGCUAUCCCAGCAGAUAUCCGGGUGGUUGAAAUCUCCCAUCAGGACAAGAGCCUGCAAGCACAACACCUCCUCCAGCCAAAACAAGAAGGUCUCGUCAACAGGCAACCCCUGAUCAGGUGGUCUGUAGCAGUCCCCAUCCACUAGAUGCCCUUUACUGGACUGAUGCUUGAUUUUAAGCUCUCAACCUGAGGCUAUUCCUCAGACACAGCUCUUAGCAAUCUACACACUUCCUAACAUAGAGGGCAACUCUCCCACCCCUCCUACCCCGUCUAUCCCUUCUGAAAAGCCUGUAGUCCUCAAUAAGAGUAUUCCAAUCAUGGGAUUCAUCCCACCAUGUUUCCAUGAUAGCAAUUAGGUCAUACUUUCCCAAUUGCACCACGGUUUCUAACUCCUCCUGUUUAUUUCCCACGCUGUGUGCACUGGUCUAGAGGCACUUCAGCUUAGCUAUUGGCCUUGCUGCCUUCUCAAAGGAUCCCUCCCUAAUACCUCCAGGACAAGUCUGGGGUUUUCCCUUACUGCCUCCCAAGGUGACAGCGUUCCUACGCACUUCUCUUGUCACCCAGUGCACCCCUGUCCCCCAUCAUAUCUAGUUUAAAGCCCUGCUAGCCAGCCCAGCCAGAUUGCUCCCAAGCAUAUUUGUGGUCCUACUAGUCAGUUGUCUCCUGUCCACCGUCAGUAUUCCCCCUUUCUCAAGGCUGCAUCCCAAACCAUAGUACCCAAAGUCCUGAGUGCGACAGCAUUUGCAAAGCCAUUCAUUCAGCAUGUCCACCCUCGUCCUUUUGUGUGGAUCCCAGUCACCAACUGAGAGGACAGAGGAGAACACAACUUGUGCUCCUGAUCUCUUCAGCAGCCUUGAAGUCCCUUUUGAUCACUGGAGAACUUCUUUUGCCUACCUCUUCAUUUCCAGUGUGGAAAACUGGUAAUGGGUAAUAAUCAGAGGUCUUAACCAGGCAAGUGAUGUUCCUAGCAACAUCUCUCACCUGAGCUCCAGGCAGGCAACACACCUCCCUGUGGGACGGGUCUGAGCAGCACAUUGGGCCCUCGGUUCCCCUCAGAAGGGAGCCCCCUAUGAUGAGAGCCCUUCUUUUUUUUUCCUGACUGCAAAACAACAGGGUCAAUCAACUCUUUUUUAAAUAAUCAGAAGUUUAAAGUUAAGAAAAGUACCAGUAAUGUACUGCUGGUUUCACAGAGAAGAUGCAGUUCUCUUUGUGGUCAAAAGUAAGAGAGCAAUAAGCUUUAUAAGAAAUAAGUUGUCUUGUGAGAACCACUGCAAGGGCAGUUGAGAACAAGUGCUAUAUUCAUCUCUCAAGUUUUCAAGGCUGCUCAUAAUUUGGAUGAAAAGCAGUAACAGGGAUUUAAGGCAGAUUAAGAACGGGCUAAUGUGUUUAACCUACAGAUAACUCAAUCAAAGCUUUCCAGAUCCUGCUAUAAUGGUAUAAUGUGCUUAAUCCAUUGUGAGAGUCAUCAUCUCUGCAACCUCCUCAGAGGUGUUCCCCUAAUCAGUCCAGCUGUUUUCAUUAGGGUAAAUGGAUUUCACCAUUUCCAUCAGCAAUGAAUCUGUGCGUUUCCAGGCACAUAUGCUGAAUUUCCUGUGGUGGCCGGAUCCUGCUUUUGCUAGGGGGAGUGAGAACAAGCACAAGCAUGAGCUCAGCCCAAUUGCAUGACACAAGCUGAGGGACACCUCUGUUGACCACUCUGGUGCGACUUUACCAGGUGUCUUAUCGCAGUGGUACCACGGCCAUGAGACCUGUGGGGUCCUGCUUACCCCUUGACAGUGUGCCCUGAUGGAGUACAGGGCAACACCAGCAGUACUGCAUCAAAUCACUCCAACCUUUAAAGCAAAAAAAAUAACAGCCUUUAAGAAUGUUUCUUCACAGCACAAAGAAGGACUAUAAAUUAAAACCAACCUUUGGAGGCUUACUUGAGGAGGCAUGAAAAUUUUUCCUUUUCCAUCACAGCAUUUAAAUCUCAGCAAAAUCAGAUAUGGAGGUGUGUUCAGCUGGAAUGCUAUAGGAAAAGAAAAAUGAGGACCCAAGGUGUGUGUUUUGGGUAAUAUCCACAGCAGGGUACUGCAGUUUCAGAUUGGUGUCUUUGUCAGCUUUGCACCUGUCCUACCUGGGAGGCUGUGCAGCCCUGCCCAGCCAAUACAAGCGAGUUGAAUCAGAGCUUAAGGGGUCAUCUCCCAGCCAAAACUCUGGGAGGUUUUCAUAACCCAUCUAUGCCAUCACAUCAGCUAAAUAAACUCUCCAUGCUUUUUCUGGAGUGGUGACUAUAUUUAUUUGAUCUGUUUGGCACUGCAGAUUAAAUACAAAGCUACGUAUUAAAGGAGGGAUUCUUUGUUUAGCUAUAUUUGAGGUGAGAUGGAGCAAGACAAGACAGAGAAAGAAAGGGAGAAAGAGUAAAGUCAAAUAACCAAGGUGCUACAUUAGAAAAAAAUAGCCUGUUCCUUGGCAUAAAGUAUUUGGAAGAAGAGCCAGGAAAUUAUGAUUCUAAUACACACUCUGUCAUCUGAUUGCCUGUGUGGUCGGGGAAAUGUCCUUUAACCUCCUUGUCUAAUUUGUCCAACCUGUAAAAGGGGAACAAGCGACUACAGAGGAGUCUGAUGAGUACAAGCAGAUGUUUUCAUAGCUCCUUGAAAAGAAUGUGAGAAUCCAUGUAUGUGUCAUUAUUACUCAUGUACACACAUAUAUACACAUGUAUAUAAAUGCUAUUAUUGCUAUUGUACUCCCCAGGAAUGUAAAUGAAUUUGAAAUGAAAAUUCUGUAUAUGAAGCAUAAACAACAUUCCUCAUUCUGCAGUCUGUGAUUUUCUUUUAUUUAUUUUUGAUUUACAAAGAUAUCUUUACUAAUUUUUGCUGCCUGGGAAAUAGCUUGUUGCAAAAUUUUAUCAUUAGAAAUCUUGGCUGCUCUGACUGGAUCACUAUGGUAUGUGCUAUGUUUCUGUUUCUUAACUUCCUAAAUAU